GAAAGAAAUGAGGGUUUUCAAACCAAUAUCAGAAUAGAAUAUAUGACUCAUGGCUUGUGAUUACGGAUUAUAUUAUGAAUCUAUUAUAUCUUUUCUUUAGUGUUGGUUUGUCACAUCCUUUGCAACAUGAUGGUUUACUUUCAUGCUAAAUGCUACAGAACCUUGAGUCAAUCUCAGUAUGUUAAACUUAAUAAAUCUCUUGUGCUCUUUUACUGUGUCUUUUAGUUAGAGACAUCAUUAGAGAUUUUAUUUAAGGUUGUCUCUAUUUUAGGUGAAUUCAUGCCUUUAUCCGAAUGAAAUAAAAAUUCUAGAUACCAU
rnacentral:misc_RNA from 1 species